UGCAAGAGCCUUUGGCCCCAUGGAGGGCCUGCUGGCUGCCGGCUUCUUCACCUCAGCUCCUUCUGGAGAUGACCAAGGCUGUGGUGGUGUCUGAAGAUUUAAGCAAGACCCAGGUCAUGCUGGGUUUCAUGGGGAGAUGAUGGUUCAUCAGGACAAAGACAAAAAUUCCUUAAAAUUAUCUCAAAAGAGUGAAGAAUAUCAGAAAAUGUUAACAGACUGGAUAAAAAUGUAGAUAUUCAGGAAAGUCUAAAACCAUUCAUAAUAAGCUCAAAAAUUAAAAGAAGAAAUAAACAAUCUCAAUGAACCUAGUAAAGCCACAUCCACAAGCAUAGGCCAAGUCACACAUGACAGAGAAUGACAGAUCUGAUCCCUGUCUACAGCCUGGGAAGUCUGACACCCUCGCCUGGCCCCCUUCUUGAUGGUAACAUUGUGGGGGGCAGAGAGGGGUGACUUGGACUAGGAUACGUAAAGUGAAUCCGGAAAACAGACAACCUGGAUGAUCAAGCAGGAACUGAUUUAAAAGAAUUGAUGUCUGCUGCUAAGAGUAUGAAGCCCUGAGGGCUGAGACCACGUCUGCCUGGUUUUCUGUGGCAGCUGCAGCAUCAACACUGGCUCUUCGAAGAGUAGCAGCUGAUGAACAUUACUCCGGCAAACAAUUUUCUCUGCUAGGAACUGGAUAAAUGCAAAGGAAGGAGCGGAGAGUGUGUCAGACGGGGACCCUGCCCUACUGGAGCACACGCAUCACCACCUGGGUUAGGACGGCCUCACCCGUCCCCUGGACCUUCACCUUAUGUCCCAGAGAGGAGACAUCUGCCAGAGCAAAGAAAAUUAGUUGUCAUAUAAAACAAACAAGAAAACACACACACACAUGUGCACACACACAUACAGAAAGCAAAUAAAACAUUGUUAGAUGAUGUAAA